AGUUUGAUCCUGGCUCAGAACGAACGCUGGCGGCAGGCUUAACACAUGCAAGUCGAACGCUCCGCAAGGAGAGUGGCAGACGGGUGAGUAACGCGUGGGAAUCUACCCAACCCUGCGGAAUAGCUCUGGGAAACUGGAAUUAAUACCGCAUACGACCUACGGGUGAAAGCGGAGGACCUUCGGGCUUCGCGCGGUUGAAUGAGCCGAUGUCGGAUUAGCUAGUUGGCGGGGUAAAGGCCCACCAAGGCGACGAUCCGUAGCUGGUCUGAGAGGAUGAUCAGCCACACUGGAACUGAGACACGGUCCAGACUCCUACGGGAGGCAGCAGUGGGGAAUAUUGGACAAUGGGCGCAAGCCUGAUCCAGCCAUGCCGCGUGGGUGAAGAAGGCCUUCGGGUUGUAAAGCCCUUUUGUUGGGAAAGAAAAGCAGUCGGUUAAUACCCGAUUGUUCUGACGGUACCCAAAGAAUAAGCACCGGCUAACUUCGUGCCAGCAGCCGCGGUAA
rnacentral:rRNA from 1 species